GACGAACGCUGGCGGCGUGCUUAACACAUGCAAGUCGAACGGAAAGGCCCUGCUUGCAGGGUACUCGAGUGGCGAACGGGUGAGUAACACGUGGGUGAUCUGCCCUGCACUUCGGGAUAAGCCUGGGAAACUGGGUCUAAUACCGGAUAGGAGCCAUUUUUAGUGUGAUGGUUGGAAAGUUUUUUCGGUGUAGGAUGAGCUCGCGGCCUAUCAGCUUGUUGGUGGGGUAAUGGCCUACCAAGGCGGCGACGGGGAGCCGGCCUGAGAGGGUGGACGGCCACAUUGGGACUGAGAUACGGCCCAGACUCCUACGGGGGGCAGCAGUGGGGAAUAUUGCACAAUGGGCGCAAGCCUGAUGCAGCGACGCCGCGUGGGGGAUGACGGCCUUCGGGUUGUAAACUCCUUUCGCUAGGGACGAAGCUUUUUGUGACGGUACCUAGAUAAGAAGCACCGGCUAACUACGUG
rnacentral:rRNA from 1 species